rnacentral:snRNA from 1 species
GGAUGAUGGGGAGAUCUGGCUGCGACAUCUGUCACUCCAUUGAUUACCAGAGUUGAUUCGGCUGAUCUGACUGGUGAGGUGGGUGUCCCCUUCCUCCCUCACAGCUCCAUGUAUAUCCCUCCUGAAGCUGCGCACUUGGUUGAAGAGGACAACUGCCCCUGAUAGAAGAGGACCAUUUCUAAUGUCUG